CGGGGUGAGUAAUGUCUGGGAAACUGCCUGAUGGAGGGGGAUAACUACUGGAAACGGUAGCUAAUACCGCAUAACGUCGCAAGACCAAAGAGGGGGACCUUCGGGCCUCAUGCCAUCAUAUUUGCCCAGAUGGGAUUAGCUAGUAGGUGGGGUAACGGCUCACCUAGGCGACGAUCCCUAGCUGGUCUGAGAGGAUGACCAGCCACACUGGAACUGAGACACGGUCCAG
rnacentral:rRNA from 1 species